rnacentral:rRNA from 1 species
CCUACGGGCGACUGCAGUGAGGAAUAUUGGUCAAUGGGCGGGAGCCUGAACCAGCCAAGCCGCGUGAGGGAAGAAGGUACAGCGUAUCGUAAACCUCUUUUGUCAGGGAACAAAGGCGGGGACGUGUCCCCGGAUGAGUGUACCUGAAGAAAAAGCAUCGGCUAACUCCGUGCCAGCAGCCGCGGUAAUACGGAGGAUGCGAGCGUUAUCCGGAUUUAUUGGGUUAAAAGGGUGCGCAGGCGGUCUGUUAAGUCAGCGGUCAAAGCCCGGGGCUCAACCCCGGCCCGCCGUUGAAACUGGCAGUCUCGAGUUGGAGAGAAGUAUGCGGAAUGCGCGGUGUAGCGGUGAAAUGCAUAGAUAUCGCGCAGAACUCCGAUUGCGAAGGCAGCAUGCCGGCUCCACACUGACGCUGAGGCACGAAAGCGUGGGUAUCGAACAGGAUUAGAUACCCUGGUAGUC